rnacentral:rRNA from 1 species
UACGGGGGGGGCAAGCGUUGUUCGGAAUUACUGGGCGUAAAGGGCUCGUAGGCGGCCAACUAAGUCAGACGUGAAAUCCCCAGGCUUAACCUGGGAACUGCGUCUGAUACUGGAUGGCUUGAAUUCGGGAGAGGGAUGCAGAAUUCCAGGUGUAGCGGUGAAAUGCGUAGAUAUCUGGAAGAACACCGGUGGCGAAGGCGGCAUCCUGGACCGGCAUUGACGCUGAGGCGCGAAAGCCAGGGGAGCAAACGGG